rnacentral:tRNA from 1 species
GCCGAAUUGGCGGACGGGCGGGGCAGCGUCGCUUUCAAAGCGGCGGCGAGAGAGCUCGGCGCAGGAUUCGGGUUCAUCACGAGUGCGGCA